UAAGUGCCUGUUCAGGGGCCGAACGACAGAUUUGUACCUUGUCAGCUCGGGGAUUUGAACUUGCAACCUUUCAGGUUACUAGUCCAAUAGUUUAACCACUAGGCUACCCUGCCGCCCCAACAUGACAGCCAACAUGACUAAUAAUACUGAAUAACUGGGUGAGUUCAAAGGUCGAAAUCAGAGUUUAUUAUACAACCUUUGAUCUAUUGUGUGUCAGUACAGGUGUGUGUAUCACCCAGACUAUACUAUCAGCUGAGAAACACACUGGAAGAACACUUCAAAGAGACAUCAUGUUCAGGUAAGAACCUCUUCCUGUACUUUCAGAGGAAAACCACUGCCAUAUAGUACAGAACACAGUGAAUCAGUUGUCAGUUAAUCAGGUUAAUAAUCAUCAUCAAUAGUCAGUUGAUCAUCAUGUCUCUCUUCCUCUCAGAAUUUCUGUGUUGAUCUGCAUCUCUCUACUGGUUUAUGGCAACUCAGCCAAGCCAUACAAGUCCUGGGAUAAAGUGGCUGAGUCCGCAGUCCAGGAGACUCUGAUGUCUGAAAAGGAGGUGAUGUUUGAUCUGGGGCUGAAGCAGGUGGAGGCUCCCAAAGACAUGGACAUCACUAACAAUGGCAUCCACCCUGUCAUGCCCAUCUGGAAGAACAUGAGAGGGGAAGGUGGGAAGAGAAAGAAGGUAGAAAAAGAGGUAGUCCAAGGCAGAUACUCCACAACCGAGGAGGACAUGGACCAUCUAUACCACCCAUCCAUGGAGCAGACCCAUGAUGCUGACCUGGCCAGAGCCAGAUCUCAGCCAGAGGACACCUUCGUUGGGAUGGCCAUCCAGACAGAGCCCCUAGAGGAGGAUAACACCAAGUACUACCAGGAGGCUGGGAUAGAUCUAGAUAACAUCUCUCAUCUCUUCUCAAGCCAGGUGGAUCCACGACACCCUGAACAGGACUGGGACGAACUCUACCAUCCAGAGAUGAAGAGGGGAGACGGGCUGUACCAAGUGGACGUGCCUCACCAGGGGGAGCUCUCUGCUGUAGGGGCAGAGGUCAAGGGUCAUAGUGAGCCAGAGGAAGACAGGGAUGACCUCUACCAUGGUGACCGGCCUGUACCUGUUCAGGUGAAUGGGAGUGGCCAGGACAGGCAGCAGUCUGCCGAUCGGCCCUCUCAGAGGAUGUACAGAGAACCAGAGGAGGACCUGGAUUACCUCCAUCAUCAUUAA
rnacentral:lncRNA from 1 species